rnacentral:lncRNA from 1 species
CACCAAUAAUCUUUAAUUCAUGUGACCUUUAAUAUGCAGUCAAGGUCAAAGGUCACUGAGUGCAAAAAAAAAAUUACGCUGCAAUUUCAAGCUUACAUAUUAGGAAAACGAUAAGACUUUGCUGCAUACAUACAGCGUAUAAAAUGUUCCUCUCGACGAGCUCUACAUUUUAUAUGAUAAGUUCAAAAAUGUCCGACUGUCUGUUCAAAAGUUACAACGGGAUGAUUCUUAAAAGUAUAGUAUUUUGUGUAUAUCUUUUUAAAGGUAACAGAUAUCAACCUACUAUAAACUGCAAAGAUGAUCAGUAAUUCAAGACCUUCAAUUUGAGGUCAAUGUCAGGUCAUGAUGAAAUUUCACCUUGACCUUCACAUUAUACUAUGACCUUGACCUUGUGAUAUUUGAAAGGUCAAGUGGUCCUGAGUUGAAUGGUGGUAGUCCCAUGUCUCUACGACUUCCGGUUCUCAAGUUUGGUAUUGCAUCAUAUAUUUGAUGAUUAAUUGUGACCUUGGUGAACUUUGAAAUUGUCCCAAUUCUUUUUCUAUAAUGUUGUCCUUUAACUGUAGAUCAUUUAUCAUUUAACAGAUUUGAGAUAUCUAUUGUCGUUUUAGAGAUAAUGCAGUUUGAAAUUUUGCGAGCGGAGGCAUGUAUUUCUGAAUCAACAACAGCUUACCACUUAAAAUGUUUUAAGAAAUUGAAGAGGUUAACAUAGUUAUAUGUUUGACCAAAUACCAAAAACAUUCCAUUGAAAAAAAACACCAAAAAAUCAUUUUGAAAUUUUCAUGUUUUGCAUUGACUUUGUAAGUUUCAUAACUUCUAUUUAUAUCGUUGAUAUUGCAUCAUUUUUUGCACUUUGUCAAAUGGGGUCAUCUGAUAUAUCAAAUUGAAGGUCUCAAUAAACUCUACUUAAAAAUGAAAAUUUUAAA